rnacentral:misc_RNA from 1 species
GGAUGGAUCAUUAACACACACAUACACCUAUUUUCUCAGUGAGAUACGUGUGUACAUUUUCUUGUGCACACGAAUCUCCUCCUGAGAAAAUAAGCCCUUUUGAGAACUGUUAAAGUCCUUUAACAACAACUCACAAACUACAUAACCGUUUUAUCUAAUAUUUUCUUUGAGUACGCGUGUACGCAUCGUAGUGACAUAAAAAACCAUUAUGAUAUAAAUACACAAAUACACACAAAGUAAACAUUAACAUAAGACACAAUUUUUGACAAUGGAUAUCUUGGCUCGCUGGACGAUGAAGAACGCAGCGAAAUGCGAUACGUAAUGUGAAUUGCACAUGUCUGUGAAUCAUCAAAUCUUUGAACGCAAUUUGCGCCGCCAAAAGCGGCAUGCUUGUUUGAGUGACGGUAAAAACAAAAUUCACCAUAAAGAAAGUUGUGGAAAGUAAUUUCCAGAAUGAAUAUUUGUAGGUGGUGUUGGAGAUUAGUCUCGUGAUUCACAUUACGAGUCCUCUUAAAUAAGAGCAUUCACAAAAAAUCUACUCUGAACCCUUUCUUGAAGCCUUAUGGCAUUCGAUAGAGUUUUACAGUAAGAUAUUCUGAUGAACUAUGCUCAUCCUCUUUCGAAGCAAUUUCAUUUGCAUCAUAGAGAUGAGAAAGCUUAUCACCAAGGAAUAACUUACACUCAAUGUAAUCUCUUGAUAACUACAUAAGGAGAUAUUCUCGAUAGAUCAUUCAGAUAGAGAAUGCAUGAACACACAACGAUGAAGCUUCAAUACCACUUAGUGCCUAUGCGCGCUUUUGUCGGUAGUCUGUUGAGUCAUACGAUGUGUAAGGAUGUUUUCUAUAUGAGUGUGCAUAAAAAACAUACUCAAUAGCUCCUUCUAAAUUUUAAAAAUCGUCCUCAAAUCAAGUAAGAUUACUCCGAGAACUUAAGCAUAUUAUUACCGGAAGGAAAAGAAACUAACUAGGAUUCCCUUAGUAGCGGCGAGCGAAGCGGGAAAAGCUCAGGUUUUAAAUCUGGUAGCGACAGCUAUUCAGAAUUGUAGUCUUGUGAGUAUACAUCGGGAAAGUCACCAGCAUAAGUCCUUUGGAACGAGGCGCCAUAGAGGGUGAGAGCCCCGUGCAUGGCUGGAUGACCGUACCAACGUUGUGUGCUCUUAGAGUCGGGUUGUUUGGGAUUGCAGCCUCAAGUGGGUCGUAAAUUCGAUCUAAAGCUAAAUAUUACAGCGAGACCGAUAGCGAACAAGUAGCGUGAGCGAAAGAUGAAAAGAACUUUGAAAAGAGAGUUAAAAGUGCUUGAAAUUGUCAAAAAGGAAGCGUUUGGAACCAGUAUCGACGCGUGGCAGAAUCACAUCGAGUGAGUGGAUAAGCGCUGUCAGAGAGGUGCCGUUUCUGGUGUCAUCUGGCGGUGUGAGGUUAUUCAUAAGGUGGUACUUUUGUUACGUGUUGGUCAGCAUCGGUUGGACUGCGUUGGCAGGAGAAAAGCUGGGGGAAGGUAGGUUGGCUGCGGCUGACUGUUUAGACCCUGGCCGAUACUGUCCGUUUGACCGAGGGAGGAAUUCGAAAAGCGUGUGCCUCAAGGCUGGGCUCCUGGGUUGGUGUGUGCUACAACUGUGCGGGACUGUAACAGUGCCGUAUGGUCGUGGUGUGCACUCGGCUCAGAUCCACAUACACGCUCUAGAUGCUGACAAAAUGGUUUCAACCGACCCGUCUUGAAACACGGACCAAGGAGUCUAACAUAUGUGCGAGUAUUAAGGUGAACAAAACCUUAGUGCGUAAUGAAAGUGAAGGCGGGCUCGGUCCGCUGAGGUGGGAUGCUGCCGACUGAGGUAGUUGCACCAUCGACCGAUCUGGAUAUAUUUUUUUGAAAGAUUUGAGUAAGAGCACAUCUGUUGGGACCCGAAAGAGGGCGAACUAUGCCUGCAUAGGGUGAAGCCAGGGGAAACUCUGGUGGAGGCUCGUAGUGAUACUAACGUGCAAAUUGUUCAUCAAAUGUGGGUAUAGGGGCGAAAGACUAAUCGAGCUCUCUAGUAGCUGGUUCCCUC